rnacentral:lncRNA from 1 species
GAUUCUGCGGGCCAUUGGUAAAGGGAGUUUUGGAAAGGUCUGCAUCGUGCAGAAGCGAGACACUAAGAAGAUGUACGCUAUGAAGUACAUGAACAAGCAGAAGUGCAUCGAGAGGGACGAAGUACGGAACGUCUUCCGGGAACUCCAGAUCAUGCAGGGGCUGGAGCAUCCCUUCCUGGUGAAUUUGUGGUGAGUGGCUCCAUCCGGGUUUUCCUGUGAAGUCCUUGUUAGGGAGCCAAAGGCAAUUGCGGCUCUGCAGAAGGACUUCUGCCUUGCACCGAGAAAGAAAUGGAAUUCUCUGGAUUCACAUAGGUCAAAGCUGUUUAGUCGAGUACGCUUUCUGAGGAGUAUUGGGUAGAGUAGCUUUUCUGAUGAACUCUUUAAGCAUGUGCUUAGUUUUAAUUCGGUUCUCUAACCCGGUGAGUCGGAAUUGAAAUAGAUGCAGACGUGAGGGUUUUUGUAGGUCUGAGAACACAUGUGGAAUGUUGGAAUAGAAUGCUGAAUAGACUCUUUCUAGGGGAAUUUCACAUGGUAGAAAAUCACACCCCAGUGCUGAUGGCAAGAAGGACUUCUGGGAGCUGAUGUUUUUCCCCCCUCGGGACGGCUGCCCAGGGUGGACGUGCUACCUUCCAGGUUCUGAAUCUGACCCACAAGGCACACUGGGAUGCACUUUCUAGACCUUGCUCUCCAUCCCACCCCUGGCUAGUAUCCCCGCUUUAAUUUGUGUCCUAGAUGGGCUGCCUUGCUGGUCGUUUCCCUGCCUCUGUGCCUUGCACAUGAUAUCACGUCUUCCUGAAACUUCCAUCCCCUUUUCCCAGCUGCCUCUAACCAAAUGCUGUAAUUCCUUUGGUUCAGCUUUCGAGGUACUGAGUCCGGAAGCCUGUGCCGCCCUGCAGGCCUGGGGAACGCCCCUCACGUCUCCCCCUGGACCCGUGCUUGACCCAACACAGCCUGCACUUCCUUGAACCCAAUCAUUGGUCUAUGUCUCUGUCUUUACUAGGAAAUCACUUGCUCCUUGGAAGCAAGGCAGGUUUCUUGGAGUCUAAUAAAAUUUCUGAUAUGUUGGGGGCACGGAAUGAAUCCUGAGCUGGAUUUCACUGAAGAGGCGAGGCCAGGCUCUUCGAGGAAGCAAAUUCUGAUGAUUUCACUCUGUAUCUCGGUUGAUGGAUCUUUGAUCUUAAGAGCAUGUUUCGGGAGUUCCCGUCGUGGCGCAGUGGUUAACGAAUCCGACUAGGAACCAUGAGAUUGCAGGUUCGGUCCCUGCCCUUGCUCAGUGGGUUAACGAUCCGGCGUUGCCGUGAGCUGUGAUGUAGGUUGCAGACACGGCUCGGAUCCUGCGUUGCUGUGGCUCUGGCGUAGGCCGGUGGCUACAGCUCCGAUUGGACCCCUAGCCUGGGAACCUCCAUAUGCCGUGGGAGCGGCCCAAGAAAUAGCAAAAAGACAAANAAAAAAAAAAAAAAAAAAAAAA